rnacentral:lncRNA from 1 species
GGAAACAUGAUUUCAUGAAUACAUACUUGAGAGUGCUGCAGAUGCUCAUGCUUUCGCCAGCCUUCCUUACGGAUUGUUGAUCACCCGAAUUCUUCAACACUACUCCAUCGAUCUGUCCUCUUACCCAACUAUCUUUUCCACAUAUAAUUCAAAAACCUUCGCCAGUAUGGGAUACAUCUUAGCUGACGAUGAAUGGUGUAGAAAAGACUCUGUC